UUUUGUCCUAAACUGUAGUUUGUUCUUCAUUAGACUAUUAGCAGAUGAAUAGAAUCUACUGUACAGUAAGUGAAGUCUUGACCUUAACGCAGCUGAGACUUUGUGCCAUGCCCUGAAUUAAACAGCUUGGAAAGCACAGCCCAAAAUGCCAAAUCGUUGAAGCAGAUGUGUAAAUAUAAACAGAAAACCUAUAACUAAAGGUGUGGAACUCAUGAAUGUCAAUAAACAAAGUACAUCCAUCCAUCCAUUUUCCAAACUGCUUAUCUUACUGGGUCGUGGGGGGUCUGGAGCCUAUCCUGGAAUCAAUGGGCACGAGGCAGGGAACAACUCAGGAUAGGGGGCCAACCCAUCUCAGGGCACACUCACACACCAUUCACUCACACAUGUACACCCACAGGCAAUUUAGCAACUCUAAUUAGCCUCAGCAUGUCUUUGGACUGUGGGGGGAAACCGGAGUACCCGGAGGAAACCCCACGAACAUAGGGAGGACAUGCAAACUCCACACACGUGACUCAGGCGGAGACUCGAAUCCGGGUCCCAGAGGUGUGAGGCAACAGUGCUAACCACUGCACCACCAUGCCUCCCCCCAAAGUACAUCCAUGCAGUAAAUAUUAACCUUCUAUUAUUCUACAUAAAGUUACAUGUAAAGUAUUCAGUAAUGAUACACCUUUUGUUAUUUUAAUGAUUAUAUUCUCUUAACAUAUACCUUUGUCUAUUGGGUCGAAAUAUGGCAAAAAUACAAAUUUUGGUUCCCAAAAUUUCUCUAAAUACAGUAUGUUUUGUCAGAAAUGAAAAAGUGAAAUGAUAAAAGUUUAAUUCCAUAAAUGCACAUUCUCAUACCAACUGUGCCGCAGAGUGGAAUAAAGAUAUUGGAAAUAAAUCACAUAAUUACAGUAAUAAAUACAGUAUAAGGGUCAAAUACAGUAUUAGCCCUUUUCUUGUUAGCUAAUUUUCUAAAAAAUAAUGACGUAAUACAAAAAAAAUUAAUGCAACAUUUAUACCAAUAUCUAUUAUUUACAUAAGAAAAUCUGUUGACUGUCUUUAUGAUUAUUAGCUAUAAAAUCAUUAAAGGCUACAUCAAUCUUCUGUUUAAGUAACACUUAGUUGCUUUAUUGUCUCCAGGUUUUUUAUUAUUUAAAUAUUAGAAAAUAAAACCAUAUUUCUAAAUCCUUGUCUGAUUGGCAGGUCAGCUCAGGUCAGCCGUUAAUUCUGGAUAAUGGAAACUCAACAGGUGCAAUAAUGCAAGAAUUCCCAAAUGUCUCUGAUUUCAGUGAAAUGCCCACUGGGCACCAGGAACCUAGUUUUCCACACUAGCAAUGAUAUAAGGUCAUAGCAAUAAUGGCUAUAAUAUGCUUCAUGUGAAUGUGUAGUACUUGAUGAAGCUCAAAGAAAAUGUUAGAAUAUAAGUUUGCCCUUAUCUGUAGAUAAAUUAUGCAUCAAAAAGCACAAGCUUAAGAGCUGGGAUCCUUCCUAAGAGGCUUCUUGGUUGAUUCAUAGUACAACCCAAGUACCUUUUUUUCUUAAAUAAACUCUGAAAUAAUAAUGUAAUAAAGUAUUCAUUAUGUUUAUAAAUAUUGAUAUUGCCAUGCGAUGGGCUGGCAUCCUAUCCAGAGUAUACUCUAGACUUACACGUUAUAUGACACUUGUAUGUCAUUUGCUUCCUGAAAGACUCAAGCCUCCCUCUCCGAUAUAAAUGAUUGGAAGGUCAGAGGAUGGAUUCGUGCCUCUUCAUGUUAUCUCAGAUUCAACUUUAUCCAUUAUUAGUUACACAAGAUUAUUGACAUUAAUUGACAGUGGAUGUCAGAACACACCUAUAUCUAGAGGAUCAAUCCUGGUAAUUCAAUUAAAGACCACACUCAAGUUAAAUGUGUUGUAGUUACAGAAAUUCAUAUCCAGGUGUUGAACACGCAGUGUUUCAAUAAAAGACUUUGCUUGGGAAAUAUAAUUUGGCAAUACCAGCAAUUUUUGAUACAUUUGACCUUUAUAACAUUUUUGUAUUCAAUGACUAGCUCCUAUUCCCCCAAAGCUAAUGGGGCAGAAUAAAUAAUUGACAGAAAAGAAAGUUGGCAAACAUGCUGCUCAACAUAUUGCAGGUUUGAGGGUGGGGGCCCCAUAAGCCAUGGCUCAUUUCAGUCCCGGUGGUAUGAAUAUCUCCCUGAAAAGAGGCAAGUAAAUAAGUUAUCUGACGGAAUAACUGAUGAGCUAAUCAGUGAAAUGCUUUAAGAGUAAUAAGCAUUUACUGAAAGGUCGUUAAUUGGAUGCAUUAGUUCUAUACUCCUAUUUUCCUCUGAGCCAUGUGAGCUGGUAAACAAAAGUAUAUUUUAUUUAGAAGGGAAGUAGUAAAAUCUGGACAAAAUCCAACCAGUCUUGCAGUCAACAAGACACAGUAUCCCUGUCUAAUGGUGUCAACAGCUCGCUGAGCUCAUGCACAGACAAAGAGGGUGUGUCAAGUACCAUUGUAGUAUAUUCAAUGUAUCAUUCUAUUCAUUAUUCCAUAUGCAUUUUUCCAUGUGUAUGUCAAAGAGGUUAGAUGAUCUGCAUGAUCUUCACAGCCUACUGCCAUUUUGAUUAAAUGUUCUUUGACUUCUCCAUAAUUCAGUUUUUUCAACUGGGGAACAAGUUCAAAGGAGUACCGGUUGUUGACCCUACAGCUAACAAACAGGUAAACAGUUUGUGAGGCUUUGAGAUGAUGGUGAUUCCAUCCAGGAAGUUAAUAUGGAAGUGGUUGCGGUCAUGCAAGAUUGUGGACGGUCUGCGCAAAUAGGACUGGGUGGCCGUAGGUUAAGAAGGGGCAGACCUGGGUCUUGUUUUUGAGAAGGGAAAAGGUCAUUCAAAGUACUGGGGUAUGUUCUAACAGUCCAUUCUAAGCAAACAACCCAAUUAAUCGGGGAGUACUGACUACAGGAGUCACUCUGUAAUAUCCAAGAAGAAGCCACCAUGAUCAGUGAUAGCCACCCCCAAAUCAAUGGCCAAUCUAAGUAAAACCAUGCAGUAGAGAAUUCUAAGUUUGAAGUUUAGGAACACCUGAACAUUUAAUAUGAUGACAACUAUUAAUAUGUGUUGUUUGUGUAACCAGCACUUCUGGGACCAGGCAGAACAGCAAUACAACAUAUGUCACAUGGCACUGCCCAGUAUCAAAUGGUAUUUAAUGAAAUAAAUCACAUUUUAAUUAGCAUUUUUGAUGAAAAUUGUUUCAGUUCUUUAAACUGCCAGAUUUGAAGGCCACAAUAUAUGCACCAUUAACACUGUUCACUGAUACGUACAGGCAAGAAAAGAAAGGUGUUCUGUUAAAAGUAAAUGAACCAAAGGAAAAACUGCUAUGUGUUUCUUGUCUUUACAAACAAAAGUCCUGCAUAAGUUUGCAGUGCCACAGUUGCUUCUUAUAAUUCUUAAUUUGAUUUAUUAAAAUUAAUGGUAAUAUAAAACAAUAGAAAUGCCAUAGUGAUUAUUGUGUGUGAUUUGUUUACUCUCUUUUUUCUGCAUGAAAACUAAAACCUUCUUACAGGCACACGCUCAGUCAGCCUGCACCCUAUUUAUGCAUUUUCAUAAAGCCACAGUAAAAUCAGGGUAACCUUUUAAAAAUACAACACAGAACAUUAUGCAUGCAGCUUUACUUUUACCCACAAAAUGAGCUCUUUUCACAGACCCCCCCAGCCCCCCCGCAAAACAGUUUUAGAGGUAGUAAUUUAUAUUUUUGCGCAUGCUACAAGAAAACAAAUGUCAAAAGUAAUGCAUAACAAAAAGCACAAAUUACUUUAAGGACAUAAUUAUCAGUGGAUUACAGGUUUUCAAUUCUAUAGGACGACAUUCUUGAAAUACAAAAAGGAAAUACUUUACGGUAAAUGAAAAUGACUAGCUACAUCUAGCAGAUAUUUAUUACUGAUAUUAGGUUUUGUUUUCCUCUCACUGAGGUAUAUUUGUCUUUCAGUCAUCCGUCCAUUAAUCCAUCUUCCAACUGUGUCUGUCCAUCAUCCAUCUUUCAAAUGGGUCUUUCAGACACGAGUACAUUAAAUAUUUGGCUAUCACAUCUACAGUUCUGACUUUUUUAAUACUGCUUUGUGAAUAUACUUGUACUUUCUUGUGCUUGAGGUUGACAUUAUUUUACUAUGCUCAUGAAAGGUUGAUGCUGGUUACAUUUUACUUGAGUGGGCCACAAAUAAUGCAUUAGAAUAGAUGUAAAUAAUACAGUGAGUUACUAAGUUUGUGCCCCCUCAAAUAAAGUGUUACCAUUGAUGCCUACUAUUAAAAUAAGUAAAAAGAUUUCGAUUUGAAAACAUUCUGGUAACUUGCCACUUUACUUGAGGAGGCACAAGUAACUUAGUAACUCAGUCACUACUCAAAUACAAACAAAUCAUGAACAAAUAAAGUAACUUCACAAAAUAAAUGAACCAUUACGAUUAAUGAUGAACAAACAUGGGAUCAGCAUGUAACUAACACAUAGUUUCUGGUUAAUUAAUACAUUAAUACAUCCAUCCAUCCAUCCAUUUUCCAAACCGCUUAUCCUAUUGGGUUGCGGGGGGUCAGGAGCCUAUCCCGGAAGCAAUGGGCACGAGGCAGGGAACAACCCAGGAUGGGGGACCAGCCCAUCGCAGGGCACACUCACACACCAUUCAAUUUAGUGACUCCAAUUAGCCUCAGCAUGUUUUUGGACUGUGGGGGGAAACUGGAGUACCCAGAGGAAACCCCACGAUGACAUGGGGAGAACAUGCAAACUCCACACACAUGUGACCCAGGCGGAGACUCGAACCCGGGUCCCAGAGGUGUGAGGCAACAGUGCUAACCACUGCACCACCAUGCCGCCCCCCCCAUUAAUACAUUAGGUAAGUAAAUUAAUACAUUAGGUAAGUAAAGUGUUACCCCUGUGUUACCAACAUUUCUUUGUGAAAAUGGGUUAGAACUGGAUUUUACCAAUGAUUUCUACAACAGAGUUUAAGACAACAAUAAUUGUAAAAUCAUAUGCUUCUUUCUCCAUUACUCCACCAUUAUUCAAAAAUCUAUUCACAGCCUAAUGGGAAAUCAAAAGCACAUGCACAAGCAACCACAUAUAUAACUGUUGUCUGCUUUCGAUUAUAUCUUGGCUGGCAUUACUGCCUGUAUCAUUACCCAGGCCAUAAAGAUGGACACAACAUUUAGAGUCUUUUCACCCAGAGGUAUCAUGCUGCACUUCACAAAAACUUACCAGACUUAGGUAGUGUUCAGAUAUAGUUCAUUCUUUUUUAAUAUAAUAGAAAAUUAAAUGAAUUAAUUAUAUUAAUAGAAAAAUGUUAGCAAUGUUUCAUUCAGGAAAAAAAGUUCUCAAGAAAUCACUGUGCUGCUAUCCAUCUAGUCAUUAAUCUCAUUGACAUAUUCCAGUAUAAACCAGGCAUAAUGGACCAGCUCCUACCAUUUCCAGAAUUGCAAUCAUAAUUCAUGAUUCAUUCAGUGCCUUUUCUGUCAUCUGCAUUACUAUAAAUAAUAAAAAGCAUUGUUUCAAAACUCAGUCUUUUUAUUUGUAGUUUAUAUAUAUUUCUCUUGCAUUUCCCUGGCAUCAGGAAACAAAGACCAACAGACACAAACACAAAUGCACAAAAAAGCAAUACUGCUGUACAUAAUAAUGCAUAAUUCAGCAUCUAGAUCUCACAGUAAGUUAUCUCACAGAAGGUGCUCUCCACUGCGAACAUUUCUUCUUAAGUGACUGCUGAAGGACAGAUUAAAGAACAUUUUCAUCCUACCUGUCUUAGUGCUGGGGUGAAACACAAAGCUGAGAUUAUGGUAUGUAGUACAUCAUAAAGGUCUUAUAGGUCAUUUCACAGUUAAUAAAACAAUAAAUUCCACAUCAUGUGCGCCAGUCAUGAAUGGGAAAUGGUGUGAAGCUGUAUUUUCAAAGCAAGUAAUAUCUGGCAUGAAAUAAAAUAUUAUCUUGUCAAAACGUAAAAAUGUUAUUAUCUAAAACAAUAUAAAUGUUAUAAAGAGAAUAUAUAAAAUUAUUGUAUAUGUAUGUAAAAUGCAUGGAAAACUAAAGUUCCCCUAAUGGUAACAUUAUUAUUAUUAUUAUUAUUAUUAUUAUUAUUAUUAUUAUCGUCAUCUGUGGCAGUUAAUAACAAGCAUGAUAUUAACAGAGACAACCACCAUAUGACCUAGAAAAAAAUGAUGAAUAUUUAUGACAGGCCUCUGUGCAACUUUGGCCUUAAUGCUUCCUCUGACAUGUGUUGCUGAGGUUAAUCUGUUGUGCUGAGCAGUGCCAGGUUCUGUCCCAGCUGUGCUGGCAUCGCCACAAGUAAUUGAUGGGCUGGCAGGGACCCGGUGCUCUUUUACCAACAAUGCCCACCGCCCUGUGUCAUAGAGCCAUCACCCUCUCAUGCAUUAUUACACCUGCACAAGAGAUAAAGGAUGCUGGUCUAACCCCACGGGCACCUUCAAAUCAUGACCAAAUUACUGGGCUGUGUGACGCUUCUCAGGUUGAGGGGUUUCUGCAGACUUAACUUUAAUACAAGGUGCCAUAGAGCUGGAAGUGCACAUGUGAGUUGCAUUAUAAAUUCAAAUUUCAGUUUUUUUAGGUCUCUAGGUGGUGCCUUGUCCUGCAUUGUCGGUGUUUGCAGUCACCUGAUAUCAGUUGUUCAUCAGUUAUUCUCCCUUAUUUACAAGAAGCAUUUCACCACUUAACUGGACUUCUGGUUACUUCUACCUCAUUUUUACAGUUAUCUGACAAGGACUGUAUUAGUGUAAUGCCUAUAGAAAUAAAUUAAUUUUGAAAUGUGAAAAAAAGCAACACAGCCACAAAAAGUUGGAUAGAGAAACUUCAGAAUUCUAUUUUCUGGGUUUUUGAAGAAAUUUGUUUAUUACUGUUUCCUUUCUCACCAUGUUCCAGACCAUGUGAAUUAAUAGUGAUUAAUUGUCAUUGUUGACACACCACAGUACACAAUAACAAAAUGUGUCCUCUGCAUUUAACCCAUAUGGGACAUAACAGGGGGCAGCUAAUUCAGCACCUGGGGAGCAGUUCUUGGGGGUGGUACCUUGCUGUAUGAGGGAUUUCAACUACACUGUUGCAGCGGAGAAUUUCUAAGCUGUUAAAUUCUACACAUCCAUCCACCUACCAACUGUUCCUCCAUCUCUAUUAUUCACAACUUGUCCCUUUUGAGUUAGACUGUCUUAGGAAUUAUAAAGGAAUAAUUUUGGGUAAUUUAAUAUGAAUUUUUACAUUCUCAUACCAUGAAUAAGUCGUUAUUAUAUUGAAUUACUCUGCAAAAUUAUUUCCAGUAUUUAUCAAUAAAAAUACAUUUUUGUAUUAAAGCAAUGAAAAAUCUGAAUCUAUGCAGGCAGGUAGGUCCUAAAUCCAUCCUUUUUAUGAUUGUAUUUGUUUAUAUAAAACUAGGAGUUUGACAAAAGAUCACUGAAAUUCUGUUUAGUGAAUUAAUAUGAGAGCAUAUUGAUAAGGAAGAAGAGGUUUUUUAAAAAACAGACCAAAACAUAAAUAAGAAAUAAAGCAAUCCCUUGACAUAUA